rnacentral:rRNA from 1 species
CAUAGGUUAAUGAGGCGAACCGGGGGAACUGAAACAUCUAAGUACCCCGAGGAAAAGAAAUCAACCGAGAUUCCCCCAGUAGCGGCGAGCGAACGGGGAGGAGCCCAGAGCCUGAAUCAGUGUGUGUGUUAGUGGAAGCGUCUGGAAAGGCGCGCGAUACAGGGUGACAGCCCCGUACACAAAAAUGCACAUACUGUGAGCUCGAUGAGUAGGGCGGGACACGUGGUAUCCUGUCUGAAUAUGGGGGGACCAUCCUCCAAGGCUAAAUACUCCUGACUGACCGAUAGUGAACCAGUACCGUGAGGGAAAGGCGAAAAGAACCCCGGCGAGGGGAGUGAAAAAGAACCUGAAACCGUGUACGUACAAGCAGUGGGAGCCUCUUUUAUGGGGUGACUGCGUACCUUUUGUAUAAUGGGUCAGCGACUUAUAUUCUGUAGCAAGGUUAACCGAAUAGGGGAGCCGAAGGGAAACCGAGUCUUAACUGGGCGUUAAGUUGCAGGGUAUAGACCCGAAACCCGGUGAUCUAGCCAUGGGCAGGUUGAAGGUUGGGUAACACUAACUGGAGGACCGAACCGACUAAUGUUGAAAAAUUAGCGGAUGACUUGUGGCUGGGGGUGAAAGGCCAAUCAAACCGGGAGAUAGCUGGUUCUCCCCGAAAGCUAUUUAGGUAGCGCCUCGUGAAUUCAUCUCCGGGGGUAGAGCACUGUUUCGGCAAGGGGGUCAUCCCGACUUACCAACCCGAUGCAAACUGCGAAUACCGGAGAAUGUUAUCACGGGAGACACACGGCGGGUGCUAACGUCCGUCGUGAAGAGGGAAACAACCCAGACCGCCAGCUAAGGUCCCAAAGUCAUGGUUAAGUGGGAAACGAUGUGGGAAGGCCCAGACAGCCAGGAUGUUGGCUUAGAAGCAGCCAUCAUUUAAAGAAAGCGUAAUAGCUCACUGGUCGAGUCGGCCUGCGCGGAAGAUGUAACGGGGCUAAACCAUGCACCGAAGCUGCGGCAGCGACACUGUGUGUUGUUGGGUAGGGGAGCGUUCUGUAAGCCUGUGAAGGUGUGCUGUGAGGCAUGCUGGAGGUAUCAGAAGUGCGAAUGCUGACAUAAGUAACGAUAAAGCGGGUGAAAAGCCCGCUCGCCGGAAGACCAAGGGUUCCUGUCCAACGUUAAUCGGGGCAGGGUGAGUCGACCCCUAAGGCGAGGCCGAAAGGCGUAGUCGAUGGGAAACAGGUUAAUAUUCCUGUACUUGGUGUUACUGCGAAGGGGGGACGGAGAAGGCUAUGUUGGCCGGGCGACGGUUGUCCCGGUUUAAGCGUGUAGGCUGGUUUUCCAGGCAAAUCCGGAAAAUCAAGGCUGAGGCGUGAUGACGAGGCACUACGGUGCUGAAGCAACAAAUGCCCUGCUUCCAGGAAAAGCCUCUAAGCAUCAGGUAACAUCAAAUCGUACCCCAAACCGACACAGGUGGUCAGGUAGAGAAUACCAAGGCGCUUGAGAGAACUCGGGUGAAGGAACUAGGCAAAAUGGUGCCGUAACUUCGGGAGAAGGCACGCUGAUAUGUAGGUGAAGUCCCUCGCGGAUGGAGCUGAAAUCAGUCGAAGAUACCAGCUGGCUGCAACUGUUUAUUAAAAACACAGCACUGUGCAAACACGAAAGUGGACGUAUACGGUGUGACGCCUGCCCGGUGCCGGAAGGUUAAUUGAUGGGGUCAGCGCAAGCGAAGCUCUUGAUCGAAGCCCCGGUAAACGGCGGCCGUAACUAUAACGGUCCUAAGGUAGCGAAAUUCCUUGUCGGGUAAGUUCCGACCUGCACGAAUGGCGUAAUGAUGGCCAGGCUGUCUCCACCCGAGACUCAGUGAAAUUGAACUCGCUGUGAAGAUGCAGUGUACCCGCGGCAAGACGGAAAGACCCCGUGAACCUUUACUAUAGCUUGACACUGAACAUUGAGCCUUGAUGUGUAGGAUAGGUGGGAGGCUUUGAAGUGUGGACGCCAGUCUGCAUGGAGCCGACCUUGAAAUACCACCCUUUAAUGUUUGAUGUUCUAACGUGGACCCGUGAUCCGGGUUGCGGACAGUGUCUGGUGGGUAGUUUGACUGGGGCGGUCUCCUCCUAAAGAGUAACGGAGGAGCACGAAGGUUGGCUAAUCCUGGUCGGACAUCAGGAGGUUAGUGCAAUGGCAUAAGCCAGCUUGACUGCGAGCGUGACGGCGCGAGCAGGUGCGAAAGCAGGUCAUAGUGAUCCGGUGGUUCUGAAUGGAAGGGCCAUCGCUCAACGGAUAAAAGGUACUCCGGGGAUAACAGGCUGAUACCGCCCAAGAGUUCAUAUCGACGGCGGUGUUUGGCACCUCGAUGUCGGCUCAUCACAUCCUGGGGCUGAAGUAGGUCCCAAGGGUAUGGCUGUUCGCCAUUUAAAGUGGUACGCGAGCUGGGUUUAGAACGUCGUGAGACAGUUCGGUCCCUAUCUGCCGUGGGCGCUGGAGAACUGAGGGGGGCUGCUCCUAGUACGAGAGGACCGGAGUGGACGCAUCACUGGUGUUCGGGUUGUCAUGCCAAUGGCACUGCCCGGUAGCUAAAUGCGGAAGAGAUAAGUGCUGAAAGCAUCUAAGCACGAAACUUGCCCCGAGAUGAGUUCUCCCUGACCCUUUAAGGGUCCUGAAGGAACGUUGAAGACGACGACGUUGAUAGGCCGGGUGUGUAAGCGCAGCGAUGCGUUGAGCUAACCGGUACUAAUGAACCGUGAGGCUUAACCUUACAACGCCGAAGGUGUUU